AACGAACGCUGGCGGCAUGCCUAACACAUGCAAGUCGAACGAGACCUUCGUGUCUAGUUGCUCACGGGUGCGUCACGCGUCGGAACCUUCCCUUAUGCUCGGAAUACCUCCCCUACAUGGGUGCUAAUACCGGAUAAUUUCUUCUGACCACAGAUUUAUCGACUUUGUAUGGGCCCGCGUUGUAUUAGCUGGUUGGUAGUGUAAGAGCCUAUCAAGGCAAGGUUCCAUAGCUGGUAUGAGAGAAAGGGCAGCGACACUGAGACUGAGACACGGCCGAGAAUACUACGGGAGGGAGGAGAGGGGAAUAUAGGAAAAUGGGGGGAAGCAAGAACGAGCAAUGCUGGGUGAGUGAUGAAGGCCUGAGGGAUGAAAAGCUCGUUUACACGGGAUGAUAAUGACAGUACCGAAAGAAUAAGCACCGGCUAACUCCGUG
rnacentral:rRNA from 1 species